UACGGAGGAUGCAAGCGUUAUCCGGAAUGAUUGGGCGUAAAGCGUCCGCAGGUGGCAAUGUAAGUCUGCUGUUAAAGAGUCUAGCUCAACUAGAUAAAAGCAGUGGAAACUACAUAGCUAGAGUACGUUCGGGGCAGAGGGAAUUCCUGGUGUAGCGGUGAAAUGCGUAGAUAUCAAGUGGAACACCAGUGGCGAAGGCGAGUCCCUGGACGACUCCUGACACUGAGGCACGAAAGCUAGGGGAGCAAACAGG
rnacentral:rRNA from 1 species